rnacentral:rRNA from 1 species
UACGUAGGGGGCAAGCGUUGUCCGGAUUUAUUGGGCGUAAAGAGCGUGUAGGCGGUUUGGUAGGUCCGUUGUGAAAACUCGAGGCUCAACCUCGAGACGCCGAUGGAAACCAUCAGACUAGAGUCCGGAAGAGGAGAGUGGAAUUCCUGGUGUAGCGGUGGAAUGCGCAGAUAUCAGGAGGAACACCGAUGGCGAAGGCAGAUCUCUGGGCCGUAACUGACGCUGAGGAGCGAAAGCGUGGGGAGCGAACAGG